rnacentral:snRNA from 1 species
GCGGGUCAAGCCCUUCUCC